UCGAGUUUUGAAACGGGUUGUCGCUGGCCUUUCACAAGGCAUUGUGCACGCCUGGCUCAUCCACUCUUCAACCUCUGUGCACUUUUUGUAGGAAAAAAAAAAUGGGUUUGAAGCUGAUGCAAGUCAGUAGAUGCCUAUUUUCUUUCCUAUGUUUUUAUUACAAACGCUUCAGUUAUAGAAUGUUUACUUGCAGAUAAUGCAUUUAUAUA
rnacentral:misc_RNA from 1 species